rnacentral:rRNA from 1 species
GACGAACGUUGGCGGCGUGCUUAACACAUGCAAGUCGAACGGAAAGGCCCUGCUUUUGUGGGGUGCUCGAGUGGCGAACGGGUGAGUAACACGUGAGUAACCUGCCCUUGACUUUGGGAUAACUUCAGGAAACUGGGGCUAAUACCGGAUAGGAGCUCCUGCUGCAUGGUGGGGGUUGGAAAGUUUCGGCGGUUGGGGAUGGACUCGCGGCUUAUCAGCUUGUUGGUGGGGUAGUGGCUUACCAAGGCUUUGACGGGUAGCCGGCCUGAGAGGGUGACCGGCCACAUUGGGACUGAGAUACGGCCCAGACUCCUACGGGAGGCAGCAGUGGGGAAUAUUGCACAAUGGGCGGAAGCCUGAUGCAGCAACGCCGCGUGCGGGAUGACGGCCUUCGGGUUGUAAACCGCUUUCGCCUGUGACGAAGCGUGAGUGACGGUAAUGGGUAAAGAAGCACCGGCUAACUACGUGCCAGCAGCCGCGGUGAUACGUAGGGUGCGAGCGUUGUCCGGAUUUAUUGGGCGUAAAGGGCUCGUAGGUGGUUGAUCGCGUCGGAAGUGUAAUCUUGGGGCUUAACCCUGAGCGUGCUUUCGAUACGGGUUGACUUGAGGAAGGUAGGGGAGAAUGGAAUUCCUGGUGGAGCGGUGGAAUGCGCAGAUAUCAGGAGGAACACCAGUGGCGAAGGCGGUUCUCUGGGCCUUUCCUGACGCUGAGGAGCGAAAGCGUGGGGAGCGAACAGGCUUAGAUACCCUGGUAGUCCACGCUGUAAACGGUGGGUACUAGGUGUGGGGUCCAUUCCACGGGUUCCGUGCCGUGGCUAACGCUUUAAGUACCCCGCCUGGGGAGUACGGCCGCAAGGCUAAAACUCAAAGGAAUUGACGGGGCCCCGCACAAGCGGCGGAGCAUGCGGAUUAAUUCGAUGCAACGCGUAGAACCUUACCUGGGUUUGACAUGGAUCGGGAGUGCUCAGAGAUGGGUGUGCCUCUUUUGGGGUCGGUUCACAGGUGGUGCAUGGCUGUCGUCAGCUCGUGUCGUGAGAUGUUGGGUUAAGUCCCGCAACGAGCGCAACCCUUGUUCACUGUUGCCAGCACGUUAUGGUGGGGACUCAGUGGAGACCGCCGGGGUCAACUCGGAGGAAGGUGGGGAUGACGUCAAGUCAUCAUGCCCCUUAUGUCCAGGGCUUCACGCAUGCUACAAUGGCUGGUACAGAGAGUGGCGAGCCUGUGAGGGUGAGCGAAUCUCGGAAAGCCGGUCUCAGUUCGGAUUGGGGUCUGCAACUCGACCUCAUGAAGUCGGAGUCGCUAGUAAUCGCAGAUCAGCAACGCUGCGGUGAAUACGUUCCCGGG